AACGGGCAGCUCAAGAACAAAAAAAAAUAUGGUCGAGCUGCAUUUGGUUGUAAUGGAAAUGGAGCAGACAGAGGAAACAGAGGAAUAUGUGAACGGGCAGUUGCAUUUGUUAAGGCAUUCUUGCUUGUCUUGAUGGGUACAUGAACAUAGCAAUGGAGCAGACAGAGGAAUAUGUGAACGGGCAGCUCAAGAACAAAUACGGUGAUGCUUUUAUUCGUGGAAACAAUAUCCUUUACAUCAGUACAGUGAACACACCUUUGAAGUUGAAACAUAGAAGGUCCAAGACCUUUUGGAACUGAUCUGUCCACUUUUCCUCGAAGUGAAGUAAAAGAAAAUACCAUAUGAUUUCUUCUCAUAUGAUCUCUCCAGAUCGACUUCAUCUUUAUAUCUUCGAGAAAGGCAAGAAAAGUUUUGAAUCAUACUUCAGCUUAGAUAUGGUACUCGACAGAUAGACUUCACUUUG